UCGUCCACCUGUUUUGGUAUUUGAUGCUAAUCUAAAUCUAGGAGAAACAUUGAGUAUAAAAACAUCUGAUGUGAGGUGUAGGGGAGGUUGAAAAUUAACCUGUCAGGUGGAGGUCACCGUGGGUUAGCCUAGCCUGCAGCAUCACUUUAGGUUAGCCUGCAGCAUCACUUUAGGUUAGCCUCCAGCAUCACUUUAGGUUAGCCUAGCCUCCAGCAUCACUUUAGGUUAGCCUAGCCUCCAGCAUCACUUUAGGUUAGCCUGCAGCAUCACUUUAGGUUAGCCUCCAGCAUCACUUUAGGUUAGCCUAGCCUCCAGCAUCACUUUAGGUCAGCCUAGCCUCCAGCAUCACUUUAGCCUAGCCUGCAGCAUCACUUUAGCCUAGCCUGCAGCAUCACUUUAGCCUAGCCUGCAGCAUCACUUUAGGUUAGCCUAGCCUGCAGCAUCACUUUAGGUUAGCCUAGCCUGCAGCAUCACUUUAGGUUAGCACUGCCUGCAGCAUCACUUUAGGUUAGCCCUGCUUGCAGCAUCACUUUAGGUUAGCCCUGCUUGCAGCAUCACUUUAGGUUAGCCCUGCUUGGGGAAAUCGUCUUUCUACAUUAGACACAUACGGAACAGGAAAACCUAGGCCAACUCCUAAACCCCACAGUUUUAAUAAGCUUCAACAGAACACCCUGUGGAAACAGAGGUCACUCAACCGCUCGUGGGCCUCACUCAGUAAGAAGACCAAGUAGUGACAGAUCAAAUCGUUAAAAAUAAAAAAGCACAAACAAUAGUCACUGGGUGUGUUGUGGGGGGGUCAAAGGGGUCAAGCGGCGAGACAGGUGUUUGAAGG